rnacentral:misc_RNA from 1 species
GAAGUGCGAUAAGCAAUGCGAAUUGCAGAACCGUGAGUCAUCAGAUCUUUGAACGCAAUUGGCGCCGGUUGGUCCUCCAGCCGGCAUGCUUGUUUCAGUGUCUCAUUUUCUCAUCACCAAUAUCAUAAUGCGAGAGAUAACCUUCUCUUGUUAAGUAUGAAAGCACUCUGAGCUCUGCAGGCGGAUCACUUCGGUGGACCGCACUCAAUGCAGCAGUCACAUUUUACAAUGUGAACUUCAUUGAGAGUUGAGUCAGCGCAGUUCUACUGCAAGUGCUUAGAUCCCUAAACUCUAUUUGUAUCUGAAAUCAAGCAGGAUCACCCGCUGAACUUAA